rnacentral:rRNA from 1 species
AACGAACGCUGGCGGCAGGCCUAACACAUGCAAGUCGAACGCUCGUAGCAAUACGAGAGUGGCAGACGGGUGAGUAACACGUGGGAACCUUCCCUAUGGUUCGGAAUAGCCCAGGGAAACUUGGGGUAAUACCGGAUAAGCCCUUCGGGGGAAAGAUUUAUCGCCAUUGGAUGGGCCCGCGUCGGAUUAGCUAGUUGGUGAGGUAACGGCUCACCAAGGCGACGAUCCGUAGCUGGUCUGAGAGGANGAUCAGCCACACUGGGACUGAGACACGGCCCAGACUCCUACGGGAGGCAGCAGUGGGGAAUAUUGGACAAUGGGGGCGAACCCUGAUCCAGCAAUGCCGCGUGAGUGAUGAAGGCCUUAGGGUU